rnacentral:rRNA from 1 species
GAUGAACGCUAGCGGCAGGCUUAAUACAUGCAAGUCGAGGGGCAGCACGGUUAGCAAUAACUGGUGGCGACCGGCGCACGGGUGCGUAACACGUAUACAAUCUACCUUAAACAGGGGGAUAGCCUUUCGAAAGAGAGAUUAAUACCCCGUAAUAAAUUGAACGGCAUCGUUUGAUUUUGAAAGCUCCGGCGGUUUGAGAUGAGUAUGCGUCUGAUUAGCUAGUUGGUGAGGUAACGGCUCACCAAGGCGACGAUCAGUAGGGGGAUCUGAGAGGACUAACCCCCACACUGGUACUGAGACACGGACCAGACUCCUACGGGAGGCAGCAGUAAGGAAUAUUGGUCAAUGGAGGCAACUCUGAACCAGCCAUGCCGCGUGCAGGAUGACGGCCCUAUGGGUUGUAAACUGCUUUUAUACAAGAGAAAACCCUGGUACGUGUACCAGGUUGAUAGUAUUGUAAGAAUAAGCAUCGGCUAACUUCGUGCCAGCAGCCGCGGUAAU